rnacentral:rRNA from 1 species
GUCUACGGCCAUACCACGUUGAAAGCACCAGUUCUCGUCCGAUCACUGAAGUUAAGCAACGUCGGGCUCGGUUAGUACUUGGAUGGGUGACCGCCUGGGAACACCGAGUGCUGUAGAUU